UGACGGGUUGUAGCUGGCCUCUCGGGGCAUGUGCACACCUGGCUCAUCCACUCUUCAACCUCUGUGCACUUGUUGUAGGUCGGCAGAAGGGCGAGCCUUAAAACAGCUCGCUUGGAAGCCUUCCUAUGUUUUAUUACAAACGCUUCAGUUUAAGAAUGUAACCUGCGUAUAACGCAACUAUAUACAACUUUCAGCAACGGAUCUCUUGGCUCUCGCAUCGAUGAAGAACGCAGCGAAAUGCGAUAAGUAAUGUGAAUUGCAGAAUUCAGUGAAUCAUCGAAUCUUUGAACGCACCUUGCGCUCCCUGGUAUUCCGGGGAGCAUGCCUGUUUGAGUGUCAUGGUAUCCUCAUCCUUCAUAACUUUUUGUUAUCGAAGGCAUGGACUUGGAGGUCGUGCUGGUUCCUCGUUGAAUCGGCUCCUCUUAAAUGUAUUAGCGUGAGUGUAACGGAUCGCUUCGGUGUGAUAAUUAUCUGCGCCGUGGUCGUGAAGGAACAUAAGCUUGCGCUUCUAACCGUCCUUAAGUUGGACAACUUACUUUGACAUCUGACCUCAAAUCAGGUAGGACUACCCGCUGAACUUAAGCAUAUCAAUAAGCGGAGGAA
rnacentral:rRNA from 1 species